AAUAAGCGGAGGAAAAGAAACUAACAAGGAUUCCCCUAGUAACGGCGAGUGAAGCGGGAUGAGCUCAAAUUUGUAAUCUGGCGGCCUCUGGUCGUCCGAGUUGUAGUCUGGAGAAGCGUCUUCCGCGUCGGACCGUGUACAAGUCCCUUGGAACAGGGCGUCGUAGAGGGUGAGAAUCCCGUCUUUGACACGGACUGCCGAUGCUUUGUGAUGCGCUCUCGAAGAGUCGAGUUGUUUGGGAAUGCAGCUCAAAACGGGUGGUAAAUUCCAUCUAAAGCUAAAUAUGGGCGAAAGACCGAUAGCGAACAAGUACCGUGAGGGAAAGAUGAAAAGCACUUUGGAAAGAGAGUUAAACAGUACGUGAAAUUGUUGAAAGGGAAACGCUUGAAGUCAGUCGCGUCUCCUGGGACUCAGCCUUGCUUCUGCUUGGUGUACUUCCUGGGACGACGGGCCAGCAUCGAUUUUGACCGUCGGAGAAAGGCCUUGGGAACGUGGCACCUUUGGGUGUGUUAUAGCCCUCGGUCGUAUGCGACGGUUGGGAUCGAGGACCGCAGCACGCCUUUUUGGCCGGGGUUCGCCCACGUACGUGCUUAGGAUGCUGGCGUAAUGGCUUUAAGCGACCCGUCUUGAAACACGGACCAAGGAGUCUAACAUGCCUGCGAGUGUUUGGGUGGUAAACCCGGACGCGAAAUGAAAGUGAAAAGUUGGGACCUCUGUCGUGGAGGGCACCGACGCCCGGACCAGACCUUCUGUGACGGUUCCGAGGUAGAGCAUGCAUGCUGGGACCCGAAAGAUGGUGAACUAUGCUUGAGUAGGGUGAAGCCAGAGGAAACUCUGGUGGAGGCUCGUAGCGAUUCUGACGUGCAAAUCGAUCGUCGAACUUGAGUAUAGGGGCGAAAGACUAAUCGAACCAUCUAGUAGCU
rnacentral:rRNA from 1 species